rnacentral:rRNA from 1 species
ACGAACGCUGGCGGCGUGCCUAAUACAUGCAAGUUGAGCGCUGAAGGUUGGUACUUGUACCAACUGGAUGAGCAGCGAACGGGUGAGUAACGCGUGGGGAAUCUGCCUUUGAGCGGGGGACAACAUUUGGAAACGAAUGCUAAUACCGCAUAAAAACUUUAAACACAAGUUUUAAGUUUGAAAGAUGCAAUUGCAUCACUCAAAGAUGAUCCCGCGUUGUAUUAGCUAGUUGGUGAGGUAAAGGCUCACCAAGGCGAUGAUACAUAGCCGACCUGAGAGGGUGAUCGGCCACAUUGGGACUGAGACACGGCCCAAACUCCUACGGGAGGCAGCAGUAGGGAAUCUUCGGCAAUGGACGAAAGUCUGACCGAGCAACGCCGCGUGAGUGAAGAAGGUUUUCGGAUCGUAAAACUCUGUUGGUAGAGAAGAACGUUGGUGAGAGUGGAAAGCUCAUCAAGUGACGGGAACUACCCAGAAAAGGACGGCGAACUACGU